rnacentral:rRNA from 1 species
CGGAUGAGUUGCGAACGGGUGAGUAACGCGUAGGUAACCUGCCUCUUAGCGGGGGAUAACUAUUGGAAACGAUAGCUAAUACCGCAUAAAAGUCGAUAUCGCAUGAUGUUGACUUGAAAGGUGCAAAUGCAUCACUAAGAGAUGGACCUGCGUUGUAUUAGCUAGUUGGUGAGGUAACGGCUCACCAAGGCGACGAUACAUAGCCGACCUGAGAGGGUGAUCGGCCACACUGGGACUGAGACACGGCCCAGACUCCUACGGGAGGCAGCAGUAGGGAAUCUUCGGCAAUGGGGGCAACCCUGACCGAGCAACGCCGCGUGAGUGAAGAAGGUUUUCGGAUCGUAAAGCUCUGUUGUAAGAGAAGAACGAGUGUGAGAGUGGAAAGUUCACACUGUGACGGUAACUUACCAGAAAGGGACGGCUAACUACGUGCCAGCAGCCGCGGUAAUACGUAGGUCCCGAGCGUUAUCCGGAUUUAUUGGGCGUAAAGCGAGCGCAGGCGGUUAGAUAAGUCUGAAGUUAAAGGCUGUGGCUUAACCAUAGUACGCUUUGGAAACUGUUUAACUUGAGUGCAGAAGGGGAGAGUGGAACUCCAUGUGUAGCGGUGAAAUGCGUAGAUAUAUGGAGGAACACCGGUGGC